rnacentral:lncRNA from 1 species
CCUCACUUGCUCUUCACCGUUGCCUCGGUCCAUCGGCGCCAAGUCUUGCUCAAGCUUCACCGUCACACGUCGUCCCUCGCUUCAAAGCCUCCGACUUGACCUUCACUCUUGCAACCGGUCCAUCAAGCCAAGCCUCAUCUUGAUCUUCUCCACCUUGGUCACAUGACUUCAUGUCAUGUCUCAUGUGCAAUGAGCUCCUCCAUCAUCACAUCAUCACCUGUGGACUAAUCUCCUGUGUAUCUCACAUAAACACUAUUAGUCCACCUAAGUUGUCACUCAAUUACCAAAACCAAACAAGGACCUUUCACGAUGGAAGUCAGCGCUUCAACCACCCCAGACGUGACUGUUGCCACGACGUACAAGCGUGCUCGCACCUAAGCCAAUCCAAGACGAUGUACAGGAGCUGAAUUCAGGAGCGCACACGCCAUCAUCACCAAAGUACCCUGUAACAAGACGGCUCGAGGCCAUGCCGGUACGGAGGCCUCGAGUAGGUCAGCACACCAUGCCCAUAUCGAGGCUUAUUCUAAUGCCUACACCCUGUAACCUAGGUAUCCCCUUGGAACUAGAAAAGGGGACACUGAGGACGACAUAUACAAGGAAGAUUCAGAGAACACAACACGUAGAAUACGAUUCACCCAACACCAUCGGCUAUGACUUAGAACUCUUGGCCACAUCCACUUGUAUUCACCUCUGUACAAGCACUUAGGUGCAAGAUAAUACAAAGUCUCCCCACCGCUGGACGUAGGGCCUUCUCUUGCCUGAACCAGGAUAAAUCUUUGUGUCAUUCUUGUAUCACCAUUCGGAAAAGGGAGAACGCACACAAAUUCACUUGUUGGUGUCACCCCCUAGGGCCAAAACACCGAUAGUUGGCGCGCCAGGUAGGGGUCAUGUGUGUUACCACAAAUUUCCCAUAUGUUUCCGGAUGGCCACUCACGUCUCACCGAUCCAAAUUGUCGAUCCCAAGGUAGACUGCCGACUAGCUUUCGUCGACACUUGGGAAUGCUAGUUCUAAAAAAGAAAAAAAGAGAAGAAGAAAAAAGAGAGAGAAAAGAAAAUUAUCUAGCCCAAGUGUUCUUCAAAGUCUUCAAAGUUCAAAAGAGAGAAGUAUCCCCUCAAGAAGCAAGCAAAUAAAGAUAAGGUUUCCAUCAUGUUCCCUUACUAAUGUUUUCACCCUCACUAUGUUAUACCCAUUGUUCCACCAUAUAUCCACCACCACAUACAUACACAUUCCCAUUAUAUACGUCCACACACAUGCACAUCAUGAUCUAAGGGUAUGGCUUCCCCUCCGAGGAUCCCAGUUUGAUUAGGAAACAUAUGCACGGUAAGUAUGCUAUAUCUUUGAAUUACCUAUAGCUCCACAUAGGCUUAUUAGUUAUAGGGAGAGAAGAGGGAACGUACGAUGCUACUCUGCCUUAUGCCAAAAAAUACCACAUAUCUUGAGAGGAGAGAAGGCAAAACACCAUUAUUGUCUUAGAGAGAAAUCCACAAAUACCACAUAUGAGAGACUUGAAAGGAUCAUGCAAAGGAAUCUCUAAGUUUUAUUUUGAAACCUUGCAAAACUCUAAAAUAAAGGUAGAUCAAAGAGCUUGAGACAUAGUGCUUGACUUGAUUAUUCUGCUUUUCAACUACUCAAGACCCAAGUGAAGGUUACAAGCCUCACGGCUGAAGGUAAUAUGGGUAAGUUGGAAGUUGAAAUGGUUGGUUCUAACUGAGAGGAGAAUUUUUAUUUGAACAUUGGUGUACUUUUAAGGUGUGAAAGCAUUAUAGCAACUCCUGAUCCAUCAUAACCAAACCACUAUUUGCUAAGAGACAAGCAAAGGAUAAGCUUGGGGGAGUUUGUUAAUGGUAAUUAACUCCAAUUUUUAACUGUCAAUUAACAUAGGAAGUGAUCUAAAACAAUGUAUAAAGUAGGGUUAUAGGGGUAUUCUAAUGAGUUCCACAAGUUGUGUUAUUCUCACUUGUCUUGCAGGAUAUUCAAAAUUUCACCAUAUAAAUGUAUCUCAAGUGAAGAAUCUAAGCACACUCUUGCGGAGAGCUUGUUAAGACGAUCAAGACGGACAUAUCAUUUGCUAUAUACAAAGCGCCAGAGAAAAAGUCCUCGAUGGAUACGACUUGGAAGGCUCUAGAAGACCCUAGAACCAUCAUCAACAUCACAAAACCAGGGACUAAACCAAUAAGAUUCCAUAGCUCUAUGAAAUAGUACUUUUCAGGGAUUUAUCCAAAAGCUAGGAAGGAAAGAAUCCAUCCACGACACGACACAUUGUGCAAACAGAUUAGAAAGUGGCAUUAGAAGGACAUAGAAAACACCAGAAGGCACAGGAAUGAAGCGGAAGACCAAAGGCUACUAGGUGGGGCCGACCGGCCCCACAUGCUAGGCUAGCUGGCCUAGUCCUCUGCCAGUUGGACUCCCCUUCACGUGAUGGCCUCCAACCGACCUCAACGACACAUCUUGACCAUUGUUUUAUGUCGGUUUGAUCCGAGGGCUACGGUUCAUCCCACUAGGCCAUAUAAGCAGAGGUAGACCCCCUAGAGGCAUCAUCAUAAUCAUAUCUCAUAUCCAUCAUUCAGUUCAAAGGUGUCCCACGAAAGGAUAACCUAGAGCUCCACCAACUAGGGCACAGCUAGAACAUAAGAAUAGGAAUUAGAGGAGUCAAGCAAUGCUUGGAUUCCGGAUCUAGUCACGAGGAGGCUAGGUACAACCUUAUACUUCUCUCUUGUAUUCAACAUUAUUAAUCUAUUUGUGUUAUUUGUCUUCUAGUUCAAUGUGUUUAUCUUCUAGUUCAAGUUUUGUUCUUCUAGUUUAUCAUCU